UUGAGCCGUAUGCGAUGAAAGUCGCACGUACGGUUCUUAGAGGGGGAAAUCUUAGUAAUAAGACGACCUAUCUCGAC
rfam:Coccidioides immitis H538.4 cont1.4342 mitochondrial, whole genome shotgun sequence.